rnacentral:sRNA from 1 species
UUUUUUUUUACGUCAAAACAAUUAUAUUAAUCAAUUAGAAUCAUUACAAAAGUAUCGAUCAAGCCAAAUAGGUAAAGAACCAGAAGCAGAAUAAAAGGUAGAAUAAGUACAACCAUAUUUCGCUAAGACAUGAGCUAAUUUGUUUCCCUUUCUCCUAAUAAAACCAAACUGAAUGCUUGCAAAUUUAUUUGCCCAAAAACUGAUGUCCUCCAGGUGAUUUGCUAACGAACUGUGAAACGAAGUCCCAUUAAUCAAGUUAAUUAGCGUCUGACAAUCGCCUUCCAUGAAUACUUGUGUGUAUCCUCGAAUCCAGGUUUGUUGUAAAGCCGCCAAAAGAGCUUUGGUUUCUGCCUCAAGCGGAUUACUCGUAUGAGCCAACUUCAUUGAACCCCAUGAGAUUGGUGUCCCGUAAUGAUUUCUGAUGAUCCAGCCUCCUGUAGCUUCCAACUUCUGUACAUCGAAACCAGCAUCAAAAUUACACUUUACAUAUGUGGCAGGUGGAUUCCUCCAUUCUAUGUUAUUCUCUGCAAUUUGUCGAGUCGGUGAUGGUGUUUUCUUAUGGCUUUGUGUUGCAUUGAGCCAAUCAUGUGUUUCAGCCUUUGCACUUAAAACAGUUUUUGACGGGCUUUCUCUGAACUUAUUGAAUACUACAUUAUUUCUUGCCUUCCAUAUUCGCCAUAUGAGCCAAACCGGGAGAAGCUUAUGGAAAUCUGACAUUGUGGUAUCCUGGACAAAGUUCAAGAUAUUGGAGAUGUUUUCUUCAAAGUCGUUUGACAUAAGUUGAUUAUGAAUGAGUGACGAAUCCGAUAACCGCCAAGCCAUUGUUGCGAAAGGGCAAGUAAAGAGAGCAUGGUUAAUCGAUUCAUUUUCUCGAUGGCAAUGAGGACAACUAGGAUCUAUACGCAUUCCUCUAGUAGUUAACCUCUCAGUUGUAGCAAGAGCUUGAGAUAGGGCUCGCCAAAGGAAGUGUUUUAAUUUCGGCAUGAUUGGCAAGUUCCAGAUUCUGGUUUUCAAAUCGAUCGAACCAUGAGGAGGGUUUAUGGCGGGAAUGUUUGUGGACGGAUCAUGAGUAAGGAGCCAAUAGCCAGAACGAACCGUAUAUUCUCCCGUUGUAUUGUAAUUCCAAAUAAUUUUGUCUGGUUUUUUACUCUUAGCAAGGUAGAUACGGUGAAUGAAUCCAUGAUCGCUUUGGUCGACAAAUUGAGAAAUUUUAGAAUCAUCCCAGGAGUAGUAGGAGCCUUUACGUUCGAACAAGUUAUUAAUUGUCAUCUCCUUAUAUGUUUCUUCUGUAUUUAACGGUCUAGGAGGAUGAGAGUCCACAAUAUUAUCCAAUCCGAUACGAAUAUUCUAUCCAUCACCAAUCAAAUGUCUUGUUCCUUUUUUUAAAAGUGCAAUGCCAUCUAAAAGCGAUGCCCAUCCAUAAGAUUGUUGUUUUCUUACCUUAACAUCAAGAAUUGAAACAUCUUUGAAAUACCGGGUUUUCAUGACACGUGCAAACAGGGAGUUUGGAUAUUGUAUGAGACGCCAUGCUUGCUUGGCAAGUAAAGCAUCAUUAAAUUUUGCGAGAUCUCGAAAGCCCAGGCCGCCUUCUUUUUUUGAGUAUUGGAGUCUCUUCCACGCUACCCAUGGGAUUCCACGCUGGUUUGAAGCUUUUUCCCACCAAAAAUUCAUAAGUAAUGAUUCAAUCUCCGAAACUAUACCUUUAGGUAAUUUGAAGCAUGACAUCGCAUAGACGGGCAUUGCCAGGGCGACCGACUUUAGCAUAAUCUCUUUUCCUGCUGGCGAGAGGAAACGUGCACUCCAUGUUGACGUUCGUUUUUUUACUCGGUCAAUUAUAUAUUCGAACAUUUCUUUCUUUUUACGACCAAAUUGCUCAGGUAAGCCCAAGUAUUUUCCUCCUCCACCCUGGUUUGGAAUUUCCAGAAUUUGUUUUAGCCUUGAUUGUGUUGAACCAUAGACCCGCGAUCCGAAGGUUAUCAUUGAUUUUUGAACAUUUAUUUUCUGUCCCGAAUAGUAUUCAUAAACAUCAAACACAUCCUUUAGAGCCUGGCAAUUCCGUACGUUGGCUUGGCAGAAAAAUAGAGAAUCAUCUGCAAAUUGUAAAUGGGUUAUUGCUGGUGCUCCAUUGCCAAUGCGAACUCCCCGAAGAUCUCCACUUGACGCUCUUCCAUUUAUUAGGUGACUAAGAAUAUCUCCACAUAGGAUGAAUAAAUAUGGUGACAACGGAUCUCCUUGUCGUAUACCCCGUGUUGGUGUAAUAUAUCCAUGUGGUGAUCCAUUAAUCAAGACUGAGUAGUGAACCGAUUUAACUGCAGCCAUAAUCCACCCAAUCCAUUUGUUGCAAAAACCAAAGAGUCACAUUGUUGUUUCCAGGAAAUCCCAUUCCACCCUAUCAUAAGCUUUGCUAACAUCUGUUUUCACUGCCAUAUAUGUUUUUGACACGCGCUUUCGGACUUUGAGUGAAUGCAUAACCUCAUGUGCUAUCAUGACGUUAUCGUUAAUGAUUCGACCCGGGAUAAAAGCAGCUUGAGAAUCCGUAACAAUCGAGUUUAGAUGAGAUUUUAAACGAUUCACUAAGCAUUUGGAGAUGACCUUGUAUAAAACAUUGCAAAGUGCUAUAGGUCUAUAGUCGGAGAGUGUUGUAGGGUUAGUGAUUUUUGGAAUCAUACAUAUGUUAGUAUGAUUUAUGCUGGGUUUCAUAAAUGAUGUUUCAAAGAAUUUUUUGACUUCUAAUAUAACAUCGUAUCCGACUAUAUCCCAACAAUUCUUAUAAAAUCUUGCUGUUAACCCAUCAGGCCCUGGGGCUUUAUCAUCUCCUAUUUGGCAGAUAGCAUCAUAUAUUUCGGUGUCACUAAACUCUUUUGUAAGAUCUAAAUUGACUGUAUUAGUGACUGUGGAUUUGAAGUCCGCAAAGUCUAUUGGUGAUACCUUUAUACCAUUGGUGCUAAAGAUAUUUGUAAAAAAGUCCUGAGCGUGGUUUCCAAUUUCUUUAUCUCCUGUGAACAUCCUUCCUUGAUCGUCCAUGAUUGUGUUCACUCGAUUUUGAGAAUAUCUUGUUUUUGUACAUGCAUGAAAAUAGCCGGUGUUUUGAUCGCCUUCCUUCAUCCAUUGAUUACAACUCUUCUGCUUCCAAUAAAUCUCUUCGUCACUAAAGGCCUUCGCUAGUGACUCUUGAAGUUGUGGAAUUAGUUGUCUUUCAACCCUCCUUGUACUCUCCAUUGCUCUGUUUAGGCUGCUUUGAAGUUUUUUGAUUCGUUGUUCUGAGUUUAAAUUAGAAACGUGUUUCAGUCUUGCCAUGGCUUGUCGACAACUACUGAUCCGUUCCGUGAUAGGUGUAGAACGUGAAUUCCAGUUUGUCCUCCAGCUUGUUUGAACAAUACGUUUGAAUGUCGGUAUGUCAAUUAAGCGGUUAUCAAAACGGAAAAGCUUUGAUCGACGGGGAAAUGACUCGUUGAAGUGAACUAGGACCGGUUUGUGGUCAGAGCCCGUGAAGUCCAGGAAUUCUGUUUCAGCAUAUGGAAAUGUUGCAGUCCAGGCUGAAUUAAUAAAAACUCUGUCAAGACAACAUUUGACUGUGUGUGUAUGUCUUUCCCCUACCCAACUGAAUCUAUCUCCUUUUGAUCUCAUAUCUUCAAUGUCACAAUGAGAAACCAUGUUUCUGAAAUUUCUAAAAGUCCAUUCCUCUCUCAUGGGACCACCAAUUUUUUCAGCGUUCGAAAGUAUCUCAUUGAAGUCACCCACUAGCAACCAUUCAGCAUUUCGAUUAUCUGAGAUAUUUUCAAGAGUUUGCCAUAGUUGAUGACGUUCAGAUUGAGUAGGGUGACCAUACACACAAGACAAGUAGAAGCUCUUGUUAUUAAAUGUUACAUGAGAAUCAAUGAGUCUUUCAUCCUGAGAAAUCAAGGAUAAAGAGACAUUGUUUUUCCACAUAAGAGCUAAGCCACCACUCCUUCCAUUAGGGGGCUGAGUUAUUACAUUAGGGAAGCCUAAAUCAUAUGCUAGUUUACAUACUUUAUCACACUGGUUUAAGGUUUCAACUAA